UUCUACCCCUGCAUUUACGACCGUUUCUAGUGGAGACAUUCCAAUAUUCCGAGCGAUCGUCACUGCUGUCUGUCAACAAUUCCUAAAAAAAGGAAUAUUCCAAAGUCUGCUAUUAUUUAUGGCUCAUUCGUUUAUCGCAUUUUCGAGAAACAAUGCAAACAUUGACACAAGUGGAUAACUCAAGAAGAUAACGUCACUAUGCUGCACGCUUAUUAUUAAAAUUUAUAUCAAUAUCGAUUCUAAAAUAUUUAAGAAAACUAUUUCGACGUUGUCGAUCGUUGUCGAAGAGAGACAAUUAAAAGAAUCUAAAGAGAGAAUUUAAGAAUUAAUCACCUGC